rnacentral:rRNA from 1 species
GACGAACGCUGGCGGCGUGCUUAACACAUGCAAGUCGAACGGAGAGGCCCUGCUUUUGUGGGGUGCUCGAGUGGCGAACGGGUGAGUAGCACGUGAGUAACCUGCCCUUGACUUUGGGAUAACUUCAGGAAACUGGGGCUAAUACCGGAUAGGAGCUCCUGCUGCAUGGUGGGGGUUGGAAAGUUUCGGCGGUUGGGGAUGGACUCGCGGCUUAUCAGCUUGUUGGUGGGGUAGUGGCUUACCAAGGCUUUGACGGGUAGCCGGCCUGAGAGGGUGACCGGCCACAUUGGGACUGAGAUACGGCCCAGACUCCUACGGGAGGCAGCAGUGGGGAAUAUUGCACAAUGGGCGGAAGCCUGAUGCAGCAACGCCGCGUGCGGGAUGACGGCCUUCGGGUUGUAAACCGCUUUCGCCUGUGACGAAGCGUGAGUGACGGUAAUGGGUAAAGAAGCACCGGCUAACUACGUG